rnacentral:rRNA from 1 species
CCUACGGGUGGCAGCAGUGAGGAAUAUUGGUCAAUGGGCGCGAGCCUGAACCAGCCAAGUAGCGUGAAGGAUGACUGCCCUACGGGUUGUAAACUUCUUUUAUAAAGGAAUAAAGUGAGGCACGUGUGCCUUUUUGUAUGUACUUUAUGAAUAAGGAUCGGCUAACUCCGUGCCAGCAGCCGCGGUAAUACGGAGGAUCCGAGCGUUAUCCGGAUUUAUUGGGUUUAAAGGGAGCGUAGAUGGGGUGUUAAGUCAGGUGUGAAAGGUUGGGGCUCAACCGUAAAAUUGCAGUUGAUACUGGCAGUCGUGAGUAGAGUAGAGGUAGGCGGAAUGCGUGGUGUAGCGGUGAAAUGCUUAGAUAUCACGAAGAACUCCGAUUGCGAAGGCAGCAUACUAAACUGCCACUGACAUUGAUGCUCGAAAGUGUGGGUAUCAAACAGGAUUAGAUACCCCAGUAGUC